UCUAAAUUGAUCCUCUUUGAAACUGCGAAUGGCUCAUUAUAUCAGUUAUAGUUUAUUAGAAAUAAUUUACUACUUGGAUAACCGUAGUAAUUCUAGGGCUAAUACAUGAGUAAAUCCUCGACUUUGAAGAGGUGUGUUUAUUAGUAUGAAAACCAUAUGCUUUUGCAUAAUAGUGAGUAAUAAUAACCUUUCAUAUCGUAUGUUGUAAUAACGAUAGUUCUUUCAAGUUUCUGCCCUAUCAGCUUUCGAUGGUAGUGCAUUGGACUACCAUGGCAGUAACGGGUAACGAAGAAUUUGGGUUCGAUUUCGGAGAGGGAGCCUGAAAGAUGGCUACCACAUCCAAGGAAGGCAGCAGGCGCGUAAAUUACCCAAUCCUGACAUAGGGAGGUAGUGACAAUAAAUCACAAUGCGGGACUUUUAGUUUUGCAAUUGGAUUGAGAACAAUGUAAAAGAGUUAUCGAUAAACAAUUGGAGGGCAAGUCUGGUGCCAGCAGCCGCGGUAAUUCCAGCUCCAAUAGCGUAUAUUAACGUUGUUGCAG
rnacentral:rRNA from 1 species